CGUUGCGAUCACCAAGAAUUUGAGAACAUCGUAACUAAAUGAGCAGCGAACCGUAUGGCCGUAUUUCAAUGUCCAUUUUUUAAAUCUUGUUUUUGUUCCCAGUGAGAUACUGGCAUAAACCUGGAGAUAUUGUAGUAUUAACAAAUAGUAUACAUUCCGGUUAAUUUAACUUGAUCGUGUUAAAAAUAAUAAUAAUAAUAAAACUAAGAAAUUUUCUUCUCAGAUUAAAGUAAUCCACAUUCCUUUCCUGUUCAUGCCCAACAAGUCAGUGAAAGAUUCCAGUGUUCGGUAAACCAACCAAAUGGACCAAUCAGUGCUUUUGUUUCAACAACAAACAAUAAAUCAUCAGGAGUAAACAGCGGAGGAACAGAGUGUUCCUUUUAAAGCAUAAACACCAGAUUUGUUUGGUUGUUAUAUGGGUUUAAUGUAAAGCUAAAUAAACCCUAUAUGAAGCUUUUGAACUGGUCUAAUUAGACAAGAACUGUGAGAAUAAUCUGCAGGCGUGACGAUCACAAAAAGCUCUCACAUCUUGUCAGCAGUCAUGUUGUCAAAAUAUUUCAAACUGAAGAAAGAUGUAUUUCUAUAUUAAACAGACGAGCCCUUCGCACGUCACUGGUGAAAUUAGUGACUCGGCUCCACAGGACUAUGUGGAAUUUGUUCGAAGCUUUCAAAACAUGACGUCACCUUGGUCCCAGGAAUGCAACAACACUUAAUAAAUCUUACAUCGCUGCAAAACCUGUUUAUUUCCUUUUAAACUAUGACACAUUUGUAGGUUUCGCACGUGAAAGACUUGCCAAUUUUUUUCUGCCAAACUGUUUAUUAAACUGUUGUCUCAUGGUCUGUGUUUUUUUUAUUUGAUUGGAUGGUUGAAGUCUGAAGAAAUGACACACACUGGUAAUUUAACAGUUCAACAAGCGUCCUCAGCAGCAUGUGGAAGAACCAUACGCGCUCAAGCUGCUCGCUGCUGUGGGAUAGUGUCCCAUUCUUCAACAAGCAUUUAUCUUGUGUGGUAAAUAAUCAGUGGAUAAACAUUUAUUACCAAUUAAAAUUUGGACGACCCCAUUCUAGAUGGCCACCAMAGCAAAGCAACAUUAGCCRGCACAAACGUGGCUGCAAGUCAACCUAUUUUUACAGAUAUUUAGCUUAAGUCCUACAAACUGUGCAGGAUUUUGAUAAAAAAAUAUUUGUUUGGGUGGUUGAAUCUGAAGAAAUGACACAUAAUGGGAGAUUAACGGUUUAGUCAUUUGACAAAUYGGAGCCUCAAUAGCAUGCGGAAGAACCAUAUGCAGCCACAGCCACGUAAAGCUGUGGGACGGCGUCCCAUUCUUCGACUAGUGUUCAUUUAGUGUGGCAAAUAAUUAUUGGAUAAACAUCUAUAAUCAGUUAAGAUUUGAUAACGAAAAAAAAAAGAAAAAAAAAAGAAAAAAAAAAGAUUUGAUAACGACCUCCUUCAAAAUGGCCGCCACCGCAUGUUCAUUAGUAGACAUUUUACAGAUAUACAUAUCAAAUAAUAGAACUCAAUCCCUACACAAUAUACACRAUUUUGGCUUAAAAUAUGGGAUAUUUGUCACUCUGUUAGGAAAAUAUUUCAAGAACCACUGGAGAGAUUUUAGUGAAACUCAAAGUGAAUAUUGGCUGUCYGUCUAAAGCUCAUCAGAUAUGGCGGUAAAAAUUGGUGUGGUGGUAAUAGUACAGUAUAACUCCGCCCCCUACUCUCCAGGCAGUAAUCUCUGUUUAAAACUCAACGGUGUAACUUCACAGUUCCACGCAGAUUUGUGCUGAGGGUGUCAACAGGUCCGUGACCUGCGGCCCGUCUGGGUUCAGCGGGUGUUGUAACUGAGUAACGUGAUGAGUUGGCAGGAACGACUCAAACGCAUCAACGCCUCUGCUGACGCCUGAGGAGCUCCGGCAGCAACAAACUGACAGAAGCACAAAUAUCUGCAGGCGUCGACCGGGAACGAAGCAGCAACAUCCGCUCCUUUUUCACACCUCGGGUCCUGGUCCUCGUUAAUUAUUAUGUUUAAAAUGUGGACAUAUGGUCUGCUGCGAGGUGAGGAGCUGGGCUCGGUCCACACAGCAAGAACCUCCUGAUUUUAAAAGGCUCGGGCCAAAAACCGGAGGAAGUGAUGCGUUCGGGUGGUCUCGCCGCCCAUAGGCAGGACACCAGAGAACAUAACGUCCUGAAACCUGCGACGCACGGUGGCUGGAGGCGGCGUGACGGAGAGGAAGUGAACCUGAGCGCCGUCGCUCACUCAGAACCAGAACAAACAUCAAACCUGCGGGUCCGAUCGAGUUCAGGAUGAUAAAGUCUCAAUCAGAGGUUUGAGGAAAUCUGAUCAUUUUAGUAAAGAUCUUCUGAACCCCACAUUAAAGACCUGAACUACUCCUUCAA